GAAACCAGCCACCGCAGCCCCUGCUGCUGAACAAACACUCCCCUGCCUCCCACCGCUUCUUCCACUGAAGAAGACCGACCUGGGACUGGGUCUGUUGCCAGACCCCACUCCCUAGAAAGGAGGUGAUCCAGCCGCACCUUCCGGUACGGCUA
rnacentral:misc_RNA from 1 species